UACAGAGGGUGCGAGCGUUAAUCGGAAUUACUGGGCGUGAAGCGUGCGUAGACGGUUGCGUAAGUCAGAUGUGAAAGCCCCGGGCUCAACCCGGAAAGGUCAACUGAUACUGUGCGACUAGAGUGCGGAAGGGGCAACUGGAAUUCUUGGUGUAGCGGUGAAAUGCGUAGAUAUCAAGAGGAACACCUGCGGCGAAGGCGGGUUGCUGGGCCGACACUGACGCUGAAGCGCGAAAGCCAGGGGAGCGAACGGG
rnacentral:rRNA from 1 species